AAUCUAAAUCUCUCCAUAAAUAUUAAGUUCAUAGGUCUUCCACCAUUGUAGAUGUGCGGGCAUGCUAUCGACGUUGAUUGUUCUCGGCUGGUUACAGUAGUUCAGUUGCAUCGGGAGCAUGCAACCACUCUAUUAACAAAGAGUUGCUCCAGAAUAAGGAUGGGGUUGGGCCCAAUAACUAUUAGGUGAAGGACCCAAUGAUGGCCUUGCACCUACUUGUGAACGG
rnacentral:lncRNA from 1 species